UACGAAGGGGGCUAGCGUUGCUCGGAAUUACUGGGCGUAAAGGGCGCGUAGGUGGCCUUCUAAGUUGAACGUGAAAUCCCUGGGCUCAACCCAGGAACUGCGUCCAAGACUGGGAGGCUUGAAUCCGGGAGAGGGAUGCGGAAUUCCAGGUGUAGCGGUGAAAUGCGUAGAUAUCUGGAGGAACACCGGUGGCGAAGGCGGCAUCCUGGACCGGUAUUGACACUGAGGCGCGAAAGCCAGGGGAGCAAACGGG
rnacentral:rRNA from 1 species